AUAAAUUUUUGGCGCAGAGGAUACCGUGAUCAAUAAGGCGGUUCCUCCAGGACGAGGCUCUUCCAUUGCACUACGGUUGAGCUGACCCCUGCGAAUAUCCCUAAUGUGGAUAUCUCGGGCGUAUUAUUUUUGUUAGUCCAUCUGCGGUGCUUGCUACGUGGC
rnacentral:snRNA from 1 species